UAACUUUGGUCAAAGUCAAACUGCUUCAAGUUUGACUAAGUUUGUAGAAAAAAUAAUAACAUUUUCAACUCAAGACAAUGUUUUUAUGAAAAUAUAUUCAAUUAUUGAUUCAAUGAAACUAAUUUGUUAUUAUAAAUAUUGCUAUAUUCAUCUAUAAACUUAGUCAAACUUCAAGCGGUUUGACUUUGACCAAAGUCAA
rfam:Oryza sativa (indica cultivar-group) chromosome 9, whole genome shotgun sequence.